rnacentral:rRNA from 1 species
CACGUAGGGCGCGAGUGUUGUCCGGAAUUAUUGGGCGUAAAGAGCUCGUAGGCGGCCUGUUGCGUCCGCUGUGAAAGCCCGGGGCUUAACCCCGGGUCUGCAGUGGAUACGGGCAGGCUAGAGGUAGGUAGGGGAGAAUGGAAUUCCCGGUGUAGCGGUGAAAUGCGCAGAUAUCGGGAGGAACACCGGUGGCGAAGGCGGUUCUCUGGGCCUUACCUGACGCUGAGGAGCGAAAGCGUGGGGAGCGAACAGG